GGCCUGAGUUUCAGAAUUUCAAAUAAGUUCCCAGGUGAUGUGAAUGCCCUGAGGGGACCACACUUUGGUUAGCAAGGGUUAAGAUUAGAAUUCGGAAGUUCCCACAUUUGCUUUGCAUCUGACUCAGCAGAUGUUCCGGAGUGAAUGUUUGUGUCCCCCCAAACUUUGUACGUUUAAAUCCUAACUCCCGGUGUGAUGCUGUUAGAAGGUGGGCCUUCCAGAGGUGCUUGUCAUGAAGGUGGAGCUCUCGUGAAUGGGCUUAGUGCCCUUAGACAAGAGAUUUCAGAAACGUCCCUCACGCCUUCCGCCAUGUGAGGACACAGCAAGAAGACAGCGGCCUAUGAACCAGUGUUUCCUUUGUUUCUCAAAUAAACCACUUACACUUGAAAUGUUGUCUUCAGAUCAACUUCUGAAGGAAUUCAAACUAAGACAUGUGACAUGCACAAUUCAACUAUGAGCUAAAAAAUAUAUGUGUGCAAAUGUAGUUGAUAGAAAAUGCAGUACUUCAAAAGGAUCUUGAUUUUUCCUG
rnacentral:lncRNA from 1 species